rnacentral:rRNA from 1 species
GGGGAAUUUUGGACAAUGGGCGCAAGCCUGACGACGCAACGCCGCGUGGAGGACGAAGAUCUUCGGGUCGUAAACUCCUUUCGAUCGAGAAGAAUGCCUUUGGGUUUAAUACGCCUGAAGGGUGACGGUAUCGAGAGAAGAAGCCCCGGCUAACUCUGUGCCAGCAGCCGCGGUAAUACAGAGGGGGCAAGCGUUGUUCGGAAUUACUGGGCGUAAAGGGCGCGUAGGCGGCCUGUUAAGUCGAACGUGAAAUCCCCGGGCUCAACCCGGGAACUGCGUCCGAUACUGGCAGGCUUGAAUCCGGGAGAGGGAUGCGGAAUUCCAGGUGUAGCGGUGAAAUGCGUAGAUAUCUGGAGGAACACCGGUGGCGAAGGCGGCAUCCUGGACCGGCAUUGACGCUGAGGCGCGAAAGCCAGGGGAGCAAAC